rnacentral:lncRNA from 1 species
CCUGGAGGGAGCUUGAAUUUCUUGCCCCGUAAUUUAGAAACAACGAUGGCAACUAUGAUGGCUGCAAACAGUCCCAAAAGGGUCUUCUCUAGCAGGAGAAGAUCCAUGACGGUGUGGAGGGCGGUUUGUGAUGGAAUCAACUGAGAGUGGGAGGUUUGGUUUGGUUGAGUGGGUUGGGUGAUGGAGUGGAAUUGGUGCCGGAGUGACUAUAAUUUAUAGCAGGGUUGGGGGGCAGUUGUCUAGUUGUCUUUUUUUUUUUUUGUGGUUUCUCUUUUUCAUUGGAGGAGGUAGGUGGCGGAUGGAGUGGUAGUAGUAAGUAGUAAGUGGGGUCGGUGAAGGUGGGUGGGCCUUUGACGGCGUCAGAAUUUUUGGACGUCGAGAAGGGAAGAUAGAGGCGAGGGGCGAGAAUGGUAGGGGGAACGAUAAGGGAGUUGAAACUUGCAAAGGGAAGUAGGUGGGCGGGUUUGGUGAGC